GCUCCUGGGGCUUGAGAAGCAGGCUUUAGCAGGAGGAGAGAAAUGAGAACAGGAUGAGACACUGCAACAGGGCCCUCUGAGGUCUUUUCCACAGGCAGCAGCAACAUAAAUUUAACCAAACAGUAGAGGCAUCUCCCUGAGAGUCCCAAGCUGUGAAUAGAAAAGUGGUUAAAAUACUGAACUUGGAGUCAAGAGGACCUCGGUUCAAGGACUGCCUCAGAUACUAAUGGCUGUGCGGUACAAGGUUCACAGACUACAGUUGAAGAACCACUGAUCAGAGCCUCUACCCUCUCCAAUUCAUUCUCCUCUCAGCUGCUGAAUUGGUGUUCCUGAACUACAAGCCUCACCAAAUCAUUUCUGUGCUCAAGAAAUUCCAGUAGCCCUAGGCCUAUAUCCUGAAGAGACAAAAAAAACAAAGAGGAAAAAGACCUAUAUGUACAAAAAUAUUUAUAGCAGCUCUUUUAGUGAUGGCAAAGAAUUGGAAAUUGAGGGGAUAUCCAUCAAUUAGGGAAUAGCUCAACCAGUUGUGAUACAUGCUUAUGAAGGAAUACUACUGUGUUAGAAGAAAUGAUGAGCAGGAUGGUUUCAGAAAAGCCUGGGAAGACUUAUGAAC